rnacentral:rRNA from 1 species
UACGGGGGGGGCAAGCGUUGUUCGGAAUUACUGGGCGUAAAGGGCGCGUAGGCGGCCUACUAAGUCGGACGUGAAAUCCCUCGGCUCAACCGAGGAACUGCGUCCGAUACUGGCAGGCUGGAAUCCGGGAGAGGGAUGUGGAAUUCCAGGUGUAGCGGUGAAAUGCGUAGAUAUCUGGAGGAACACCGGCGGCGAAGGCGGCAUCCUGGACCGGUAUUGACGCUGAGGCGCGAAAGCUAGGGGAGCAAACGGG